ACCGAUAGCGAACNAGUNCNGUGAUGGAAAGAUGAAAAGCNCUUUGAAAAGAGAGUGAAAAAGUNCGUGAAAUUGUUGAAAGGGAAGNNCUUGCAAGCAGACACAACCUUUUGGUUGGGCCAGCAUCGGGGCGAGGGGAAGGAAAAAAGAAAAGGAAAUGUAACUCUCGAGUAUUAUAGACCUCUUCCAAAACUUCCNUCUCAUCCCNAGGCUGCGGAUUCAUCCUAGGAUGCUGGNGUAAUGG
rnacentral:rRNA from 1 species